CACGUAGGGUGCGAGCGUUGUCCGGAAUUAUUGGGCGUAAAGAGCUCGUAGGCGGUGUGUCGCGUCGGCCGUGAAAACCUGCAGCUUAACUGUGGGCUUGCGGUCGAUACGGGCAUCACUGGAGUUCGGCAGGGGAGACUGGAAUUCCUGGUGUAGCGGUGAAAUGCGCAGAUAUCAGGAGGAACACCUGAGGCGAAGGCGCCUGACUGGUGGGCCAUUGACGCUGAGGUGCGAAAGCGUGGGGAGCGAACAGG
rnacentral:rRNA from 1 species